rnacentral:tRNA from 1 species
GUUUUAAUAAUUUAAAUAAAAUAUUGGUUUUGUAAACUAAAAAUGAUAUUGAUCUUAAAACU